rnacentral:rRNA from 1 species
UACGAAGGGGGCUAGCGUUGUUCGGAUUUACUGGGCGUAAAGCGCACGUAGGCGGAUUGUUAAGUCGGGGGUGAAAUCCUGGAGCUCAACUUCAGAAUUGCCUUCGAUACUGGCUUUCUAGAGGCUGGAAGAGGUUAGUGGAAUUCCCAGUGUAGAGGUGAAAUUCGUAGAUAUUCGGAGGAACACCAGUGGCGAAGGCGGCUCACUGGUCCAUUACUGACGCUGAGGUGCGAAAGCGUGGGGAGCAAACAGGG